rnacentral:rRNA from 1 species
AUGGCGACCGGCGCACGGGUGAGUAACACGUAUCCAACCUGCCGAUGACUCGGGGAUAGCCUUUCGAAAGAAAGAUUAAUACCCGAUGGCAUAGUUCUUCCGCAUGGUGGAACUAUUGAAGAAUUUCGGUCAUCGAUGGGGAUGCGUUCCAUUAGGUUGUUGGCGGGGUAACGGCCCACCAAGCCUUCGAUGGAUAGGGGUUCUGAGAGGAAGGUCCCCCACAUUGGAACUGAGACACGGUCCAAACUCCUACGGGAGGCAGCAUG